AGUUAGUUAACUUUAAUUCCCAAAGAGAAUUCUGUAUUUCUUUCUUCUCUUCGUUAAUUUUCUUUGAUUUUCCCGUUGUUGGAAGCUCUCCCUCCUUUUUCUCCACCAUAGCCAAACUUCCAACUCCAUCAUACGACACCAGUGAGCUCUAACGCAUUGAAGAUCGCCGCCUCCCAACGGAGCGACGAAUAGAAGAAGAAGUUCGUCGUCCGGAAACAAAGUCCCUAAUGAAUCGAUGGCUGACGGAGACCGGCCAGCGGAGGCGACCGACUGCCACCGCCGACGGAAGCCAUGGAGACUGGCUACGUAGCUUUGGGUGAACGAUUCUCUCCUAAGGUUCUGGGCUUCAUGCAGCUUACUAUACAGAUCAGUUAACGCUUGCCACAUCCGAAUUUUAUUAAGUUGAUUUAUUACUUGAGAUGGAUUUUGAAUUUGAUCCGGUUGGUGCUGCAAUUGCGCGGGAACUUAAAGGAUGUGUCGUUGAAUUUAUUCGAGAGAUGCCGAAUCGGUGUUUCUCUAUAAGUUUUGUCUGUGAAUGCUUGAUGGUGAACUCAUAGGUUAUCGACAUUAGACGCUGCAAAAUCGGGGACAAUCUCUGGAAGGCAACAAGACAUGCAGAGAUGUAGCUCUUGAUAUUCUUCUUGAGCAGUGGCAGUGGACUGGAUUUUCGUCUGCAGAAGUUGCAGAGAAAUUUUCAACAUGCGCCCUUUAUGCGAGUAAUGGAAAUCUGAUCAAAUGCAACCUAAGUAUAGUUGAUUCAGUGGAACGGUGUUCAGCCAUAUAAUGGUUGCAAAGAAUGGGUGUAGAAUUUGCUCAGUAACAAAAGGUAAGCAUAAUAGAUGCACAGUCUUUUCUUUUGGCCAAUUUUCAGAUGCCUUGUUUAUCAAAUGUAGCUUUUUCCUCUAGACUAGGUAUUCGUAGCCAGAUUGUCAUUUCAGAAAUGAGACGUCGUGUCCUUGGUUAAGGAAAAAGACGAAGUGCAGUAUUUUAAUAGCUAAUCCGUUCAUUAGACUCAUUGAGAGAAGUAUCUUCUUGAUCCUUAUUGUGAAUUACUAACAUAUAUGGUUCUUGGUCGAGCAAUUCUCCAAUUUGAGCUCUUUAGUUGCAUAUAUUUCAAGAGACUGAUCUGACCUUAACCUUUUCAUGCUUCUAAGAUAAUUAGUACGCUUCGGCAACUCAUUACAUACAGAUAAGAUGGCCUUAAA